GGCUCUGUAGCACAAUGGAUAGCGCUUUGAACAUCUAACUCAAAGGUUGUGGGUCCGAGUCCCACCAGAGUCG